CUACGGGGGGCUGCAGUGAGGAAUUUUGCGCAAUGGGGGAAACCCUGACGCAGCAACGCCGCGUGAGCGAAGAAGGCCUUCGGGUCGUAAAGCUCUGUCAAGUGGGAAAAAAAUUCUUUGAUGAACAGUCAAAGGACUUGAUGGUACCACUGGAGGAAGCACCGGCUAACUCCGUGCCAGCAGCCGCGGUAAUACGGAGGGUGCAAGCGUUGCUCGGAAUUACGGGGCGUAAAGAGCGUGUAGGCGGUUUGACAAGUCAGAUGUGAAAGCCCCGGGCUCAACCCGGGAAGUGCAUUUGAAACUGUUUCACUAGAGUAUGGGAGAGGAGAUUGGAAUUCCUGGUGUAGAGGUGAAAUUCGUAGAUAUCAGGAGGAACACCCGUGGCGAAGGCGAUUCUCUGGACCAAUACUGACGCUGAGACGCGAAAGCGUGGGGAGCAAACAGGAUUAGAUACCCUCGUAGUC
rnacentral:rRNA from 1 species